rnacentral:misc_RNA from 1 species
UACGGAGGAUCCAAGCGUUGUCCGGAUUUAUUGGGUUUAAAGGGUGCGUAGGUGGCCCUGUAAGUCAGUGGUGAAAUAUCUCAGCUUAACUGAGAGGGUGCCAUUGAUACUGCAGGGCUUGAGUACAGAUGAGGUAGGCGGAAUUGACGGUGUAGCGGUGAAAUGCAUAGAUAUCGUCAAGAACACCGAUAGCGAAGGCAGCUUACCAAGCUGUAACUGACACUGAGGCACGAAAGUGUGGGGAUCAAACAGG